AUCUCAUCCGGUCCCAAAGCCAGCUGCCCUGCGGAGAGGAGCCGACCGGCACCGGGCACAUCUCUGGGAGGGCGAGGCUGGGAGAAAGGCAUUGAGCUAAAGAUGAGAAGAAGCGUUCCCUGGAGCCUGCAUGGCAUCAAUCAUGAGAAUGGAUGUUGAGGGUUAUGCACCCCACUGAGGCAGCACUGAAUGCCAGAUCCCAAGUUACAGAGGUGCUUGACACCGAUGGGAGGAUGUGGUGGUGAUGGUGGAGGCAGAGCUGUGAAGAACUGAGAGGCUGUUAGAAAACCGCGGUGGAACAGUGGCUGGGGAAAGACCUUGGCUUAGGACAUGAAUCCAGUGACCUGAGGUCAGCAGUUUCUAUCUGAACCGAAGCCAGGUUGACCUGGGGCCUGGGCAGGUAAGAACCCUGCUUUUCCAGAUAUGAAGUCUAAUAGGAAC
rnacentral:lncRNA from 1 species